rnacentral:rRNA from 1 species
AACGAACGCUGGCGGCAGGCUUAACACAUGCAAGUCGAUCGCUGUCUUCGGACAGAGAGGCGCACGGGUGAGUAACACGUGGGAACAUGCCCUUAAGUACGGAAUAACACAUGGAAACGUGUGCUAAUACCGUAUACGCCCUACGGGGGAAAGAUUUAUCGCUUAAGGAUUGGCCCGCGUCCGAUUAGCUAGUUGGUGAGGUAAUGGCUCACCAAGGCGACGAUCGGUAGCUGGUUUGAGAGAAUGAUCAGCCACACUGGGACUGAGACACGGCCCAGACUCCUACGGGAGGCAGCAGUGGGGAAUAUUGGACAAUGGGCGAAAGCCUGAUCCAGCCAUGCCGCGUGAGUGAAGAAGGCCUUCGGGUUGUAAAGCUCUUUCAGAUGUGAAGAUGAUGACGGUAGCAUCAGAAGAAGCCCCGGCUAACUUCGUGCCAGCCGCCGCCGUAA